GGCGUAACGACUCGAAUAAAUCAGACUCGCGAGGAAAAAUCGAGGAAAAAUCGAGGAAUUCCUGGGAUUCUUGGAACACACAACUUCCGUAAUUUCAUACGUGCUGCAAUUUUUCUAAGAAUUCAAUUAAUUAAAUUCAAAGUUAUGCACGAACGAAGUUGAAUUUGUGCAGCAAAAUUAAUAAACGUUAAUUUUUCAUUGUGCCAGAUUUAUUGGUGCACGAAUACGAUCUACAUCUACAAAAUCAACACGUGAUUCCACAUUUCAUCUAUUGUUACCUAAAAAUCGAAGAUUCCGAUUAAAAUUUUUCAUUUUGACGCCUCGUAUAAUUCCCGAUAAGGACGUUAUCGGCGUAAUGCAUCAACCACUUACGAUGAAACAAUUUCGAUAAUGUUUCCAAGAACACUCUUGGUAUUUGCAUAUAACGUUGUCGCGGUACGCGUAAUUAUCGUAAUGUGUACCGUCGCCUGGCGACUCGUCCAUUUAAUUUAAUGCGUUUUCGCCCAAGUACCGAGUGUGUACCCACGACAGACGAGAUAACCACACGGCGGCUUAGCCAGACCGCAAAAUGAAAUACGUUUCGGUCGAACGCUUCGUGUUGCGCAACGACACUGCGACAGACGUUUCAUCGGGGAUCAUGAUGCGACUAACGAAAGCUAUUUUGUUGCCGGAAACU